rnacentral:rRNA from 1 species
AAGUCGUAACAAGGUUUCCGUAGGUGAACCUGCGGAAGGAUCAUUAAUGAGUUGUGAUAGGGUUUGAUGCUGGCAGCCAAUCUUUUGGAUGCAUGUGCUUGCCCUAACAAUCAUUUUCCAAACACCCGUGCACACUUUUGAGGGAGUUUUGAGCUUAUUGUCAUUUUGAUACUUUGCUCGCCAUUCCCUUUAAAUCAUUAUACGCUGUUAAUAAUAAUGAACGUGUUUUGUGCCGCAAGGCCAUUAAUAUAAUACAACUUUUAACAACGGAUCUCUUGGCUCUCGCAUCGAUGAAGAACGCAGCGAAAUGCGAUAAGUAAUGUGAAUUGCAGAAUUCAGUGAAUCAUCGAAUCUUUGAACGCACCUUGCGCUCCCUGGUAUUCCGGGGAGCACGCCUGUUCGAGUGUCACGAAAUUUGUCAAGCUUGGAUGGCUUUUUUGUCUGUCCAUUAGUCUUGGUUGUUGGGCUCUGCCGUGUCCUUUAUUGGGACGGCUAGCCUUAAAAGCAUUAGCUGAUCCUUGUGUGUGGCACUGGUUCUACUCAGCGUGAUAAUACAUCUGAUCGCUGAGGACAUCUUUCCGGAUGGCCAGUCCUCAUUUGGGUUGCUUCUAAACUUGGUUUUGCAGAUUCUGUGAAUCUGUGUUCCACUUUUCAGCUUUGACCUCGAAUCAGGUGGGACUACCCGCUGAACUUAA